rnacentral:lncRNA from 1 species
GUUUUGAGGUGAGGGACUGCAAUGCGCGCAUUUCCGGACCCCAGGCUGUUCCCGCGGCGACUGAUACCUCAGACACGCGUGGGAGGGGCGGUGCCCUGUCUACGGGGCUGUGCUGAGUCUCUGCCUCCUCGGACCCCACCGUCCCUUGGAAGCUCGCGCAGGGCACCUGCCACAGUGACCACCUGGACGCAGGUUUUCCUAGUGUCUUUGCAAAAGCUCAGGAUCGGACUUUGUCAGGAAGGUGGGUCCCUCCUCUCAGCACAUCAAGC